GGACCUGCCCAGUGAUAUAAUACAUUUAACGGCCGCAGUACCCUGACUGUGCAAAGGUAGCAUAAUCAUUUGCCCUAUAAUUGAGGGCUAGUAUGAAUGGUUUGACAAGAACAUGACUGUCUCUUAUAAGAUAAAUAAAAAUUAAAUUUUAGGUGAAGAUGCCUAAAUAAAACUAAAAGACGAGAAGACCCUGUUGAGCUUUAAAAGCCUUAAGAUAUUCUAAAUGGUUUUUUUGGUUGGGGCGACCUAGGAACAUGUAAAGCUUCUUUUAUUACUUUAGACAUAUAGUUAUGAUCCAAUAAAAUUGACUAACAGAAUAAGCUACCACAGGGAUAAC
rnacentral:rRNA from 1 species